AGAGUUUGAUCAUGGCUCAGGACGAACGCUGGCGGCGUGCUUAACACAUGCAAGUCGAACGGAAAGGCCCUUUCGGGGGUGCUCGAGCGGCGAACGGGUGAGUAACACGUGGGUGAUCUGCCCUGCACUUUGGGAUAAGCCUGGGAAACUGGGUCUAAUACCGAAUAGGACCAUGGGAUGCAUGUCUUGUGGUGGAAAGCUUUUGCGGUGUGGGAUGGGCCCGCGGCCUAUCAGCUUGUUGGUGGGGUGAUGGCCUACCAAGGCGACGACGGGUAGCCGGCCUGAGAGGGUGUCCGGCCACACUGGGACUGAGAUACGGCCCAGACUCCUACGGGAGGCAGCAGUGGGGAAUAUUGCACAAUGGGCGCAAGCCUGAUGCAGCGACGCCGCGUGGGGGAUGACGGCCUUCGGGUUGUAAACCCCUUUCAGUACCGACGAAGCGUAAGUGACGGUAGGUACAGAAGAAGCACCGGCCAACUACGUGCCAGCCGCCGCGGUAAUAC
rnacentral:rRNA from 1 species